rnacentral:tRNA from 1 species
GGACGUAGCUCAGCUGGCAGAGGGCUUGCCUUGCAUGCAUGAGGCCCUGGGUUUGAACCCCAGCACCA